rnacentral:rRNA from 1 species
UACGAAGGGGGCUAGCGUUGCUCGGAAUGACUGGGCGUAAAGGGCGCGUAGGCGGAUGGCACAGUCAGAUGUGAAAUUCCUGGGCUUAACCUGGGGGGCUGCAUUUUGAUACGUGUGAUCUGGAGUGAGGAAGAGGGUUGUGGAAUUCCCAGUGUAGAGGUGAAAUUCGUAGAUAUUGGGAAGAACACCGGUGGCGAAGGCGGGGUCUCUGGGCCGAUCUGACGCUGAGGAGCGAAAAGCGUGGGGGAGC